rnacentral:rRNA from 1 species
UACGUAGGGCGCGAGCGUUGUCCGGAGUUAUUGGGCGUAAAGAGCUCGUAGGCGGCUUGUCACGUCGGGUGUGAAAGCCCGGGGCUUAACUCCGGGUCUGCAUUCGAUACGGGCAGGCUAGAGUUCGGUAGGGGAGAUCGGAAUUCCUGGUGUAGCGGUGAAAUGCGCAGAUAUCAGGAGGAACACCGGUGGCGAAGGCGGAUCUCUGGGCCGAUACUGACGCUGAGGAGCGAAAGCGUGGGGAGCGAACAGG